AGAGUUUGAUCCUGGCUCAGGAUGAACGCUGGCGGCGUGCCUAAUACAUGCAAGUCGAACGCUUCGCUUUGGUGAAGAGUGGCGAACGGGUGAGUAAUACAUAAGUAACCUGGCAUCUACAGGGGGAUAACUGAUGGAAACGUCAGCUAAGACCGCAUAGGUGUAGAGAUCGCAUGAACUCUAUAUGAAAAGUGCUACGGGACUGGUAGAUGAUGGACUUAUGGCGCAUUAGCUUGUUGGUAGGGUAACGGCCUACCAAGGCGACGAUGCGUAGCCGACCUGAGAGGGUGACCGGCCACACUGGGACUGAGACACGGCCCAGACUCCUACGGGAGGCAGCAGUAGGGAAUUUUCGGCAAUGGGGGAAACCCUGACCGAGCAACGCCGCGUGAAGGAAGAAGUAAUUCGUUAUGUAAACUUCUGUCAUAGAGGAAGAACGGUGGAUAUAGGGAAUGAUAUCCAAGUGACGGUACUCUAUAAGAAAGCCACGGCUAACUACGUGCCAGCAGCCGCGGUAAUACGUAGGUGGCGAGCGUUAUCCGGAAUUAUUGGGCGUAAAGAGGGAGCAGGCGGCACUAAGGGUCUGUGGUGAAAGAUCGAAGCUUAACUUCGGUAAGCCAUGGAAACCGUAGAGCUAGAGUGUGUGAGAGGAUCGUGGAAUUCCAUGUGUAGCGGUGAAAUGCGUAGAUAUAUGGAGGAACACCAGUGGGCGAAGGCGACGAUCUGGCGCAUAACUGACGCUCAGUCCCGAAAGCGUGGGGAGCAAAUAGGAUUAGAUACCCUAGUAGUCCACGCCGUAAACGAUGAGUACUAAGUGUUGGGGGUCAAACCUCAGUGCUGCAGUUAACGCAAUAAGUACUCCGCCUGAGUAGUACGUUCGCAAGAAUGAAACUCAAAGGAAUUGACGGGGGCCCGCACAAGCGGUGGAGCAUGUGGUUUAAUUCGAAGCAACGCGAAGAACCUUACCAGGUCUUGACAUCGAUCUAAAGGCUCCAGAGAUGGAGAGAUAGCUAUAGAGAAGACAGGUGGUGCAUGGUUGUCGUCAGCUCGUGUCGUGAGAUGUUGGGUUAAGUCCCGCAACGAGCGCAACCCUUAUGGUCAGUUACUACGCAAGAGGACUCUGGCCAGACUGCCGUUGACAAAACGGAGGAAGGUGGGGAUGACGUCAAAUCAUCAUGCCCCUUAUGACUUGGGCUACACACGUGCUACAAUGGCGUAAACAAAGGGAAGCAAAGCUGUGAAGCUGAGCAAAUCUCAAAAAUAACGUCCCAGUUCGGACUGUAGUCUGCAACCCGACUACACGAAGCUGGAAUCGCUAGUAAUCGCGGAUCAGAAUGCCGCGGUGAAUACGUUCCCGGGUCUUGCACACACCGCCCGUCAA
rnacentral:rRNA from 1 species